GUAAUAUGAUGACAUCAUGCGUGUCAUUUGAGCAUCUUUUGGUGGAUUUGGUGUGCAAGUCCUUGCAAGCGUUCUGCUAGCCUGGACUUGGGCACCACACCUGCCAUGGUGUGAAUGAUUGCUGUGAAGUCUGAUUAC
rnacentral:snoRNA from 1 species